rnacentral:rRNA from 1 species
GACGAACGCUGGCGGCGUGCUUAACACAUGCAAGUCGAACGGAAAGGCCUUUUCGGAGGUACUCGAGUGGCGAACGGGUGAGUAACACGUGGGUGAUCUGCCCUGCACUCUGGGAUAAGCCCGGGAAACUGGGUCUAAUACCGGAUAGGACCGCACUUUAGUGUGUGUGGUGGAAAGUUUUUUCGGUGUAGGAUGAGCCCGCGGCCUAUCAGCUUGUUGGUGGGGUAAUGGCCUACCAAGGCGGCGACGGGUAGCCGGACUGAGAGGUUGGUCGGCCACAUUGGGACUGAGAUACGGCCCAGACUCCUACGGGAGGCAGCAGUGGGGAAUAUUGCACAAUGGGCGCAAGCCUGAUGCAGCGAGGCCGCGUGGGGAUGACGGCCUUCGGGUUGUAAACUCCUUUCGCCAGGGACGAAGCGUUUUGUGACGGUACCUGGAGAAGAAGCACCGGCUAACUACGUG